rnacentral:rRNA from 1 species
CUCCAAACGAACGCUGGCGGCGUGGAUAAGACAUGCAAGUCGAACGGGAUUACUGGUGUAGCAAUACAUCAGUGGUCUAGUGGCGUAAGGGUGCGUAACACGUGGGGAAUCUGCCGAGAAGUGGGGGAUAGCUCGCCGAAAGGCGAAUUAAUACCGCAUGUGGUUAGUGAAGACAUCUUCACGAUACCAAAGCCGGGGCAACCUGGCGCUUCUUGAUGACCCCGCGGCCUAUCAGCUAGUUGGUGAGGUAACGGCUCACCAAGGCUAUGACGGGUAGCUGGUCUGAGAGGACGACCAGCCACAUUGGAACUGAGACACGGUCCAGACACCUACGGGUGGCAGCAGUCGAGAAUUUUUCUCAAUGGGGGAAACCCUGAAGGAGCGACGCCGCGUGGAGGAUGAAGGUCUUCGGAUUGUAAACUCCUGUCAUUUGGGAACAAGUUGCAUUGGUUAACUGCCGAUGCAUUGAUAGUACCAGAAGAGGAACGAGACGGCUAACUCUGUGCCAGCAGCCGCGGUAAUACAGAGGUCUCAAGCGUUGUUCGGAUUCAUUGGGCGUAAAGGGUGCGUAGGUGGCCGGGUAAGUCUUGGUGUGAAAUCUCGGGGCUCAACCCCGAAA